CGCCGCCGCCUACCCUCGGCGGGCGGUCCACCCCCUCCUCCUUCUCCGCCGUGGCGCGGUGCUCCGCGGCAACCUCUCGCUGGUCUGGUCCGGCUUGAGCCCCUUCGCGCUGACCCCGACCCCCCCUUCUUCCAAGCUGGCGCGGCCACCAUCGACGGUGAGGGCCGCAGCAGGAGCAGGAGCACGGCGGGAAGGAGGAGAACGACCAGGGGAGGUCGAGCCGCCAUCCGUCGCCGGCCGUCGACACCUCCUAUUCGACCACACAGCGGGAGCACCGGACCG
rnacentral:rRNA from 1 species